AAGUUGGGUGGAGAUAGUGAGUCACUGGCUCGAACCCUCCACUGCAGGAUCCAAUCCGGGGGGGAGGCCCUGGGUCCUGGAACUGGGAGACGGUUCUGAAAGGCCAGGAUCAGAUGGCCCCCACCUAACUCUGCGACUUCAGACCACUUCCUGAAUUUAUCUGGGUCUCAGUUUGUCCUGCGAAAUAGGAGCAGUCCCAGACCAUGUAUCUACUGUGUUUCAAGCACCCACCCAGGCCUGGGGCUGCAACAGAUCAUUAAGGGUUGUGCAGGCAGAGCAAGACGAGGCAGGGACACCGAGCUCCACACCUACAAAGGUGUCUGAAUGGAUAAAGGUUUGGAGUGUGAACGUGUAUGACUUCCACAGAGAGAAAGAAAAAUGUUCCUGUACACGCACCCGGAGGCUUUUGCAGGAGGCGGCUGUUGGAGAACCGGGAAAACAAGCCAAGAAACAAGAGAGAGGAAAAAGACCACGCCUUGCCUGGCAGAUUCCUAAUGGCCCAGGAGACCUGAGGCUUUACAGAGGGAGUCCGGUGGGGGCUGCCUUGGGUGGGAGGGAAGGGCAGGCCGAAGGACAGCCACUUGCUGGCUGGUGACCUUGGGCGGGAUGCUGCCUGCUUUCCUCUGGUGAGAAUGGGGAGGAGGGGGGCAGGGGCAGGGCUGGCCAGCUGAGGUCACAGGAAGGCCCCUUCGAGCCUGAAACGCGAUCUCGGGAUGUGGGGCCUGCCAACCUGCAGCGACCCUGGGCCAGCAGAGAUGAAAGGCUGCCUGUCCCCAGCUUCCGGACCCCUGAGGCCCCAAUGCCUCAAACUUGAAGGGCAGUAAAGCUGCUACAGCUGGCUGGAGCUGGUUGUUGUGCUCCCCACCCCACCUGAUGUCAUCCAACCCUCCCUUCCCUGUUUUGCAGAGGACACUCAGGCCCAGAGAGGGCUGGUGACCUGCCCAAGGUCACACAGCAAAUUGGAAGCGGAGCCAGGACUCAUCACGAAGUCCUUGGACUCCAAGUCCAGGCCUCAUUCCCUUUCCCAGAAACUUGGCUGCCUGGGGGUUUACCCUGGGGAGUUGGAGAGACCCAGGCGUAGGGAGGACAGUUAGGAGCUGUGUCUGUUUGAAAGCUUAAUGUUGACUAAAGUGCCUUUUUUUUUUUUUUUUAAGACAAAAAGAACCGUUCCAGUCCCUGACAUGAGCCUGGGCUUGCUCUGCUGGCAGGGGAAGGAAUGCAGUUCUGGCCGCCACAGCUGCUGGUGGCCAGCUGCGGCUUCAGCUCUUGCUGCUCCCACCCCAGCGGGCAAAGGGACAAAGGCCUCUUCUCAGGCCUGUCCCCUCCAGCCCCUUGGAUCAGUGGGGGCAGAGAAUCUACCAGGAGGUGGGGUCACUGACCAGCCAAUGACUUAGCUGUUCCUCUCUGGAUCUCAGUGCCCGUUCUGGAAAAUGGGGGCAGAGUAUUCGCCUGACUGACUUCUCAGCGUUGUUUUCCAAAGAGGUACGUUAGUUCCCCAUCUUACAGACGAGGAAACUGAGACAAGGAGAGGUUCCGUACGUCACCUGAGGUCACAGCAAGUUGGAGGCUGAGCCGGGACUUAGCCCAAAGAAGUUGCAGAACCAGGAUUCAAACCCAGACCCCAAGCUAUAACCAUUACCCCACUAAUAAGUCAGCUUGUUUCCUGCCUAUUCCCAGCUCCCAAAACAUCUGGUAUACAGUAAGUGCUCCAUGUACAAACAGUAGGUGACUGAAUACAUAAACAGGUAACGAGUGCACAGGAGUAUUUGGAGGAGAAUAAAGCACCUUCCAGGAGUGCGUUUUUCGGGACCGUAUGUAUGGUGAGGGGAGCAAGUGCCUGAUGGACUACAGUCGUCCCCAUUAUCUGCCUUUUCGCUUUCUGCAGUUUCAGUUACUUGCGGUCAGCUGAGGUCUGAGAAUAUGAAAUAGAAAGUUCCAGAAAUAAACAAUUCAUACGUUUUCAACAACGCACCAUUCUGAGUAGCAUGAUGAAAUCUCUCACUGACCCACUCUGUCC